GGGUUGUGAGGUUAAGCGACUAAGCGUACACGGUGGAUGCCCUGGCAGUCAGAGGCGAUGAAGGGCGUGCUAAUCUGCGAUAAGCGCCGGUAAGGUGAUAUGAACCGUUAUAACCGGCGAUACCCGAAUGGGGAAACCCAGUGUGAUUCGUCACACUAUCAUUAACUGAAUCCAUAGGUUAAUGAGGCGAACCGGGGGAACUGAAACAUCUAAGUACCCCGAGGAAAAGAAAUCAACCGAGAUUCCCCCAGUAGCGGCGAGCGAACGGGGAGGAGCCCAGAGCCUGAAUCAGCAUGUGUGUUAGUGGAAGCGUCUGGAAAGGCGCGCGAUACAGGGUGACAGCCCCGUACACAAAAGCGCAUGUGCUGUGAGCUCGAUGAGUAGGGCGGGACACGUGGUAUCCUGUCUGAAUAUGGGGGGACCAUCCUCCAAGGCUAAAUACUCCUGACUGACCGAUAGUGAACCAGUACCGUGAGGGAAAGGCGAAAAGAACCCCGGCGAGGGGAGUGAAAAAGAACCUGAAACCGUGUACGUACAAGCAGUGGGAGCCCCACCACCAAAGCAUUCUCUGGUGUUGAAGGCCCUGCAAAGCAGCAUCGCGGUGGCGGAGCGUCGUUUGCGACGCCCAACACACAAAACAAGCGGUGAGUGCUUUGGGGUGGGGUGACUGCGUACCUUUUGUAUAAUGGGUCAGCGACUUAUAUUCUGUAGCAAGGUUAACCGAAUAGGGGAGCCGGAGGGAAACCGAGUCUUAAUUGGGCGUUAAGUUGCAGGGUAUAGACCCGAAACCCGGUGAUCUAGCCAUGGGCAGGUUGAAGGUUGGGUAACACUAACUGGAGGACCGAACCGACUAAUG
rnacentral:rRNA from 1 species